UCUCCUGGAAACGGGUGGUAAUGCCGGAUGCUCCAGCUGACGCAUGGUCCUUCGGGAAAGAUUCUGCGGUAUGGGAUGGGGUCGCGUCCUAUCAGCUUGAUGGCGGGGUAACGGCCCACCAUGGCUUCGACGGGUAGCCGGCCUGAGAGGGCGACCGGCCACAUUGGGACUGAGAUACGGCCCAGACUCCUACGGGAGGCAGCAGUGGGGAAUAUUGCACAAUGGGCGCAAGCCUGAUGCAGCGACGCCGCGUGCGGGAUGACGGCCUUCGGGUUGUAAACCGCUUUUGACUGGGAGCAAGCCCUUCGGGGUGAGUGUACCUUUCGAAUAAGCACCGGCUAACUACGUGCCAGCAGCCGCGGUAAUACGUAGGGUGCAAGCGUUAUCCGGAAUUAUUGGGCGUAAAGGGCUCGUAGGCGGUUCGUCGCGUCCGGUGUGAAAGUCCAUCGCUUAACGGUGGAUCCGCGCCGGGUACGGGCGGGCUUGAGUGCGGUAGGGGAGACUGGAAUUCCCGGUGUAACGGUGGAAUGUGUAGAUAUCGGGAAAGAACACCA
rnacentral:rRNA from 1 species